rnacentral:rRNA from 1 species
GACAGAGGGUGCAAACGUUGCUCGGAAUUACUGGGCGUAAAGCGCGUGUAGGUGGAUUGGUGUGUCAGAUGUGAAAGCCCUGGGCUCAACCCAGGAACUGCACCUGAAACUACCAGUCUUGAGUGGUGGAGAGGGAAGUGGAAUUCCUGGUGUAGAGGUGAAAUUCGUAGAUAUCAGGAGGAACACCAGUGGCGAAGGCGGCUUCCUGGACACUAACUGACCCUGAGACGCGAAAGCGUGGGGAGCAAACAGG